GCAUUUUUAGCAACAUGGAUGGACCUAGAAACUAUCAUGCUAAGUGAAGUCAGCCAUACAAUGAGACACCAACAUCAAAUGCUUUCACUGACAUGUGGAAUCUGAAAAAAGGACAGACGGAACUUCUUUGCAGAACAGAUGCUGACUCACAGACAUUGAAAAACUUAUGGUCUCCGGAGGAGACAGUUUGGGGGGUGGGGGAAUGUGCCUGGGCUAUGGGAUGGAAAUCCUGUGAAAUCAGAUUGUUAUGAUCAUUAUACAACUACAGAUGUGAUAAAUUCAUUUGAGUAAUAAAAAAAAUGAAAAAAAAAAAAUUAGCCCUGCAUUUCAGUUACCUAAAAAAAAUGAGAGACGCUAAUUUAUCCUCUGGAAAGGUUUCCCGUGGUGUUUAUUCCCACUUGCUUUGUGUGUGGGUUCAGUAUGGAUGUUAAAAACAAAGUGCCUUCAUCAUCUGGGAGGCAGAACUUUUCCUGCCUGAUUUCACAUCUGCGAGCCCUGGAGAGAGAGCCCCGUCCUGCAUGACCUUGGAGUUCUCACAGGGUUCACCAGGAUGUGACUGAAACCCAUUGUUUUCAGUGUGUUUGAUUUACAAUGCACUUAAACCUGACUCCACGUUGACCUCAAGCCAAUGGACUUACCUCCUAUGAAUGAAAGCCCAGAACGUUCCCAGGAGCCACAGGGCCCCCCAACUCUUUGAUUAAAGUUGAUACUGCAGCUCUGAGUCUCUCAUCUCAGGAACUUACAGACUGACUUUUCCACCUUCUCCUUGAUGAAGCAGAUAAUGAUUUUCCCAGUAGUCUGUACUCCUUUUCCAGACUUUCUUUGGCAACAGGGGUAUCAAUUUGGCCUACACAGGGGGCCACUAGCAGCUCGGGCAUGUGAAGCUGUCUGCACUGUUCAUUUUGCUCACACCAAUGAGGAAGGCAAGAGCCAGUGUAUCAGAACACUGCUUCUCCUCUCAAGGCACUGAGAAGUCUGGACACAAGAGACCCACUGAGAUAUCAUUCGGUAAUGGCAUGACCCACCUAUGAUGUUGCUGGUAAAAUGUAUAAGCUGUGGACUAGACUUUCCUUUUGAAAACUCCAUAUUAAACUGUCUUUGACAAGCAUCCAUCUAACAGUGUCAAAUUCAGGUCUGAAGUGGGUAGGAAAUAUUAUUGAAUGUUACUAAA
rnacentral:lncRNA from 1 species